rnacentral:rRNA from 1 species
UACAGAGGGUGCAAGCAUUGUCCGGAUUUAUUGGGCGUAAAGCGUUUCGUAGGCGGAUUUGCAAGUUAUUCUUCAAAGACCAGGGCUCAACCUUGGGAAGGGGAAUAAUACUACAAGUCUUGAAAGUUAUCGGGGUUUUCGGAACUUGCGGUGUAGGGGUGAAAUCCGUUGAUAUCGCAAGGAACACCGGUGGCGAAAGCGGCAUCCUGGACCGGUAUUGACGCUGAGGCGCGAAAGCUAGGGGAGCAAACGGG